rnacentral:rRNA from 1 species
GACGAACCGUACGAACGUUAUUCGGAAUCACUGGGCUUAAAGGGUGCGUAGGCGGCGCAGAAAGUUGGGUGUGAAAUCCCUCGGCUUAACCGAGGAAUUGCGCCCAAAACUACUGUGCUCGAGGGAGGUAGAGGUGAGCGGAACUUAGGGUGGAGCGGUGAAAUGCGUUGAUAUCCUAAGGAACACCGGUGGCGAAAGCGGCUCACUGGACCUCUUCUGACGCUGAGGCGCGAAAGCUAGGGGAGCAAACGGG